GGAGUUUGGACCGUGUCUCAGUUCCAAUGUGGGGGACCUUCCUCUCAGAACCCCUACUGAUCGUCGACUUGGUGAGCCGUUACCUCACCAACUAUCUAAUCAGACGCAGGCUCCUCGCAAAGCGAUAAAUCUUUAGUAAGUUACUCAUGCGAAUUACUUACAACAUUCGGUAUUAGCAGUCCUUUCGAACUGUUGUCCCCAUCUUUGCGGCAGAUUACCUACGCGUUACUCACCCGUUUGCCACUAAACUAAAAGUUCCGUUCGACUUGCAUGUGUUAAGCACGCCGCCAGCGUUGUC
rnacentral:rRNA from 1 species